AGGUGAAGCGCAUGUACAAGCAGCUGCGCCAGUUUAGCGCGAGACUGUAGGGUAGUAGGCAAGCCGCGAGCGCGUGACUGCAGCUGCUAGCCAAGUGAGCGUGCCACUACAGGACAUCAAACAACGACGACAGCAAGCAAAUGAUCCGUUCAGCAUGUGCUGCCUAUUCGAAGUCCCCUGGUACACUUUUUUUUCCUAAAAUUCUCAGAGUCCUUAUUUGUCGGGAAUUUUGGAUGGAGGGAGUAGUAUCUUGGGAUGAUGAGGAUACUCUGAUUGUUCAUGUUCCAUAAGUUUUGUUAUAUUGCAGUGAGAGUUUUUGAGAAUGUUCUUCUAUUUUUGUUCUCUCAAACUGGAUGUUAAUUUCUGAUUCAAAUUCUCCUGUGUUAUGCGUGUGCUCCUUGUGCAGAGUUGGCACAUUUCCUACAUUAUAUACCUACUUAUUCAUUUCAAGUUAUCUUUACUGAAUAUUUGUUUGUUUGUUUAUGAAACUGUUGUAUCAUUGUGGCCAUAAGUUAUUUUGGGGGAUAACUUUGGCUGCCGAUGAUUCGUUCAACAUGUCCUCGUGCUCUUCACAGGGAUCAUGUCCAGACUCACACUGGGCUCGUUGCUCGGCCUUAUUGAGCUAGAGAUCCUCCAACACAGCGGCACCGACACCAAGGCUCAGGCUAGGAUCACAUUGGUGUGGCUGGUUACAUGAAGGAAUGGAGAUGAGAACGUCAUAUACUCUAUCGUAUUCUCAAGUACCUCUGUAAUUUUGAACAUUCGAGCGUCUUUGGUGUAUGGUGGUGAAUUUUUUUCUCGCUCGUAUCGGAAGUCUGCUAGAUUUUAAGUGUUUGAAAAGGAAAGAGAACAAACAAAAAUGGGUAUAGUCAGGAAUAAGGAAAAGCAUUGUGGAUGGGAUUCAUUCUUUUCUAUGGUUCACCUCGUUCUGGUGAUAUAUGAAAUGAUACAUCAGAUAAGUGGGAAGAGGAAGUAUAAUGCAAUGGAUAAUCAUAAAAAGUGAUCACUCUGGAGUAUCCUGUAUCUACCAUUUUUAUUUACUAGGGUAGAAUGCACUUUCAGUUUUGUCUUACCUAGUAAUCUUUACAGCGUGAAAGGAUCUCUAGCUAGUUGAUUAGCUGGUCUAAGUAGCACUCCUUAGGUUUUUAGUUUGACUCCCCGUGUAAAAAAAAUUAGGUUGGGUUAAAAAAUCUCCUGAUUUGUCCCAUGACAAACCAUUGUUCUAAGCCUCGACCCCGGUAAUGUCUUGGUCAUUCUCAAAUGGGCUACGAUGUCGCUGCUACGCCAAAGCAUAGGUCUAAGACUCGACCCUGGUGCGGUAUUUUAGCAUCCCCUUUUUAGUUUCAACAGUGUAUUGCUGUUGUCCCUCAAGUGUUGUUUAUUAUUUACUUUGUUUGUUGCAGCUGCCAGCCUUCCAGUUGUUCAAAAGCAACACCAGCUUCAUGUCACCCUAUUGUUGUGUAAUGUUGCUGCCAUGGAGGCACUUCCUAUAUUUUUGAUAGAAUGUUUCAUCAUGUUCUUUUUGUAUUAUUGUCAGCGACAUUUGUUCUUGCCUUUGGAGAGGGAUCAUGUCUAGGCUCACAACGGGGCUCAUGUUGCUCGGCCUCGUCGAGCUGGAGAUCCUCAAAUGUAGCAGCAAAAGCAUCUCAGGAGACCAUUAAUAGUAUGAAGAGAUCGAUCGAAGAAAAUAACCUCCUUCAUCAACUAUUAAGCUUCAAUCGAGGCCAAGUGCCUCCAUCUUAAGUCUAACUAACCACUAUAGGGCCUACAACCUUAUGGCUGUUAUAGUAGCUUGUUACAGUAGCUCUAGAUUUGAAGUUAUAUGAUUAUUUCAAUUAUGCUUAAUGUAUAAUACUUUGAGUUGAAGUUAUAGGAUUUGAUUUGGAUUUUAAGUUAAAGAAUUUGCAGAUAUAUGUUUUGAAGUUAUAUAAUUCUCUCAUGGAUGAAAUAUUUGUGUUCAACAUAUUCA